rnacentral:rRNA from 1 species
AUACGUAGGGCGCAAGCGUUAUCCGGAAUUAUUGGGCGUAAAGAGCUCGUAGGCGGUCUGUCGCGUCUGCUGUGAAAACCCGAGGCUCAACCUCGGGCCUGCAGUGGGUACGGGCAGACUAGAGUGCGGUAGGGGAGAUUGGAAUUCCUGGUGUAGCGGUGGAAUGCGCAGAUAUCAGGAGGAACACCGAUGGCGAAGGCAGAUCUCUGGGCCGUAACUGACGCUGAGGAGCGAAAGGGUGGGGAGCAAGCAGGCUUAGAUACCCUGGUAGUCCACCCCGUAAACGUUGGGAACUAGUUGUGGGGUCCAUUCCACGGAUUCCGUGACGCAGCUAACGCAUUAAGUUCCCCGCCUGGGGAGUACGGCCGCAAGGCUAAA